AACGCGAAGAACCUUACCUGGGCUCGAACGGCUUAAGAACAUCUUUGGAAACAGAGACUUCCCGCAAGGGACUUGAGUCGAGGUGCUGCAUGGCUGUCGUCAGCUCGUGUCGUGAGAUGUUGGGUUAAGUCCCGCAACGAGCGCAACCCUUGUCCUGUGUUGCCACUCCGUAAGGAAGCACUCGCAGGAGACCGCCAGCGAUAAGCUGGAGGAAGGUGGGGAUGAUGUCAAGUCAUCAUGGCCUUUAUGUCCAGGGCUACACACGUGCUACAAUGGGCGGUACAAAGCGCUGCAAACCCGCGAGGGGGAGCUAAUCGCAAAAAACCGUUCUCAGUUCGGAUUGCAGGCUGCAACUCGCCUGCAUGAAGCUGGAAUCGCUAGUAAUGGCGUAUCAGAAUGAUGCCGUGAAUACGUUCCCGGGCCUUGUACACACCGCUCGCGA
rnacentral:rRNA from 1 species